AGUGAACGCUGGCGGUAGGCCUAACACAUGCAAGUCGAGCGGCAGCACAGUAAGAUCUUGCUCUUACGGGUGGCGAGUGGCGGACGGGUGAGGAAUACAUCGGAAUCUACUUUUUCGUGGGGGAUAACGUAGGGAAACUUACGCUAAUACCGCAUACGACCUACGGGUGAAAGCAGGGGAUCUUCGGACCUUGCGCGAUUGAAUGAGCCGAUGUCGGAUUAGCUAGUUGGCGGGGUAAAGGCCCACCAAGGCGACGAUCCGUAGCUGGUCUGAGAGGAUGAUCAGCCACACUGGAACUGAGACACGGUCCAGACUCCUACGGGAGGCAGCAGUGGGGAAUAUUGGACAAUGGGCGCAAGCCUGAUCCAGCCAUACCGCGUGGGUGAAGAAGGCCUUCGGGUUGUAAAGCCCUUUUGUUGGGAAAGAAAAGCAGCAGGUUAAUACCCCGCUGUUCUGACGGUACCCAAAGAAUAAGCACCGGCUAACUUCGUG
rnacentral:rRNA from 1 species